rnacentral:rRNA from 1 species
UACGGGGGGAGCAAGCGUUGUUCGGAUUUACUGGGCGUAAAGGGCGCGUAGGCGGCCACUGCAAGUCGGUUGUGAAAUCUCCGGGCUUAACCCGGAAAGGUCAACCGAUACUGCAGGGCUAGAGUGCAGAAGGGGCAACUGGAAUUCUCGGUGUAGCGGUGAAAUGCGUAGAUAUCGAGAGGAACACCUGCGGCGAAGGCGGGUUGCUGGGCUGACACUGACGCUGAGGCGCGAAAGCUAGGGGAGCGAACGGG